rnacentral:lncRNA from 10 species
UCUCUCCUGCUGCAUUGUGAAGAAACUGCUUGCUUCCCUCUCACCCUCUGCAGUUUCCUGAGGCCUCCCCAGCCAUGCGGAACGCCUGCUUCCAUAUCGUAAACUGCCUUGGAACCAAUUACCACUACCAGGGAGACAAACUAUUGCUUAGAGGAUGCUGACAGGAGCAGCAUGCCAAAAUUGGAAGAAGGAGAAAGUUUAAGCUCUCCUCACUAUGAGUUUUCAAGUAUAAAAGACUUUUUCUUCCACGAUUUUGAGAACAACUGAGGACUCUUGUGACCAGGACAACAGGGAAGCUUGCAGCAAGAUAGCUCCAGGUUGGAUUCAUGCUUCGCACCCCAAGGGCUGCCAGCCAGAGAGGAGGAGAAGCAAUCACUCCUGCAGUUUCUGAACACUACACAGACGCCAGGUAGCUUCUUCAGGAGAACAGCCCUCUGAGGAGGCAGGAAGAGGAGGCUUAUCUUUCAGCAGCCGGAGCUGCUGAGAUCUCUGGGCAGAUUAAGCUCUCUCUAAUGGAUGGGCUCCAGCCUGGCACAUUCAGUGGAGAGGGAUCCACUCAUCCAUCAUCAACAUAAUAUGGUCCUCCCUGCACUUCACAGUGUCCUCUUGCUAUUGAAAAGGCUUUUUUGCCUUCUCAAGUUUCUUUGUCAACAGUCUACAGGAAGAAGCUCAGGCCGCCACCGGCAGAGGUGAAUGCAAGCUCACGUUUUAUUUCUGACUGCUUAAUCAUUGCCUCGAUCACUGCUCAAGCUCUGCCUUUGUUUCCAAAGGUUACCUGUGGGAAAACUUCUUUUUCUAUGCUGAAAUUAAUAGGGAGGCAAAGAUGAGUCCACUGAUAAGCAGAGCCUUAAAACUCACAUAGAGAAACAACUUUGCUGGAGUGUGUGU